GGAUUAUGGGAUGCUGGAAGAGUUUGUUACCAUGGUCACAGAGAUGGUUCCAGAGCCUAAAAGUGCAAUAUGUGCCAUGUAAAAAAGCUAACGUUUAAGUUCCUUGCUCAGAACAUGAGAACAUAUGAAAGUUGGUGGUUCCUUUUAACAUGAGACUUCAAUGAUGUUUUUCCUGUGGAAUUUGGUCCCAAGUAUGACGCCGCAAUAGAGAAACUAAUGUGUCAGUUUCUUUCAAGACUUGAGAAGCUACUUAUCAAAUUUUCAACAGGCUGCAUUCCUGCUCAGUGAUGUCCCCUCUGUUCUGGAGGAAUGUGUUGAGUCCAUGUCUCACCCUCAGCAGCUGAAAACCCUACUUCAGUACCACAGAGAUCUCGGCCAGCUGGACAACCAUGAUACUCUUGUCUUCCACUGUUGGGGACUGCAUUCUCUCUGCUCUCUGUUUCCCUCCUGUAGAAAGGGUGAUUGCAACAGAACAAACAGAAUCAGAAACACCAGUAUCAUCCUUGAAUGUCUUCAUGGAUACAUUCACCAAAGAGUUGGAUGUGGACUCUGCAACACUGACAGAGUACACAGAGAUGGAACCGGGGACAAGUAUGAAUGUCGUAGAAAGAGAGGAGAGGGUGGAAUGUGAGAGAAACAACAAACUAUCUAUAGAGUUUGCUGACCCUGUGGACCAUGAGAACAUGGAGGUUCAUGCCGGUAAUGAAGAAGAGAAGGUUGUGGGGAUUGGACCAGUAAAAGAUGAGACGGAAGAUAUUGUUGAAGAGGUGGACUCCAGGAAUGUCCACCAGAGCUGUGUCCACCAAACCAUCUCCAACAUCAUUUGAGGGAAUUUGGCGGUAAGUCCAAUCGGCCUCACAACCACAGACCACAUGUAUGUGGGCGAGCGGUUUGCUGAUGUCACGUUUUGAGCAGAGUGCCCCAUGGUGGCGGUUGGGUUAUGGUAUGGGCAGGCAUAAGCUACGGGCAAUGAACACAAUUGCAUUUUAUUGAUAGAAUCUCUGUGCAUUCAAAUUGCUGUGACGAGAUCCUGAGGCCCAUUGUCGUGCC
ensembl:lncRNA